rnacentral:rRNA from 1 species
AUUGAACGCUGGCGGCAGGCCUAACACAUGCAAGUCGAGCGAGCGGCGGACGGGUGUGUAAUGUCUGUGAAACUGCCCGAUGGAGGGGGAGAUCUAUUCGAAACGCUAGCUCAUACCGCAUACCCUCAGAUGUGCCCCGAUGGGAUUAGCUAGUAGGUGGGGUAAUGGAUCACCCAGGCGACGAUCCCUAGCUGGUCUGAGAGGAUGACCAGCCACACUGGAACUGAGACACGGUCCAGACUCCUACGGGAGGCAGCAGUGGGGAAUAUUGCACAAUGGGCGCAAGCCUGAUGCAGCCAUGCCGCGUGUGUGAAGAAGGCCUUCGGGUUGUAAAGCACUUUCAGCGGGGAGGCGUUACCCGCAGAAGAAGCACCGGCUAACUCCGUGCCAGCAGCCGCGGUAAUAC